GGUGUGGGUGGGGAGGAAGACCUGCAGGAGAGGGAAUGUCCACCCGGGGGCGACAAACGUCCUUCCGCAGAGUUCGCGGGCCGCUGAGACCUGCCACGUCCAGAAUUUAUUUCUCUGACGGAAGUCACGUGAUGAAGUCACUGGCCAAUGGGUGUGUGACACGGAACAUGGCACCACUUGAGGUGCAGGGGUCGCAGCAGGCUAAUGCCCUCAAGACAGUGUCUUGGAC